AAGUGGAGAAGGGUUCCAUGUGAACAGCAGCAGUUGAACAUGGGUCAGUCGGUCCUAAGGGAUGGGCGAAAGCCGUUCGGAAGGGAGGGGCGAUGGCCUCCGUCGCCCCCAGUCGAUCGAAAGGGAAUCGGGUUCAGAUCCCCGAACCCGGAGUGGCGGAGACGGGCGCCGCUCGGCGCCCAGUGCGGUAACGCAAACGAACCCGGAGAAGCUGGCGGGGGCCCCGGGAAGAGUUCUCUUUUCUUUGUGAAGGGCCGGGCACCCUGGAAUGGGUUCGUCCCGAGAUAGGGGCCCACGCCCUGGAAAGCGCCGCGGUUCCGGCGGCGUCCGGUGAGCUCUCGUCGGCCCUUGAAAAUCCGGGGGAGAAGGUGUAAGUCUCGCGCCGGGCCGUACCCAUAUCCGCAGCAAGGUCUCCAAGGUGAACAGCCUCUGGCGUGUUAGAACAAGGCAGCGUAAGGGAAGUCGGCAAGUCAGAUCCGUAACUUCGGGAUAAGGAUUGGCUCU
rnacentral:rRNA from 1 species